GACGAACCGUGCGAACGUUGUUCGGAUUCACUGGGCUUAAAGGGCGCGUAGGCGGGCGAUCAAGUCAGGGGUGAAAUCUUUCGGCCCAACCGGAAAAGUGCCCCUGAUACUGGCCGUCUCGAGGGGGGUAGGGGCAUCCGGAACUUCCGGUGGAGCGGUGAAAUGCGUAGAUAUCGGAAGGAACGCCGGUGGCGAAAGCGGCGUGCUGGACCCCUUCUGACGCUGAGGCGCGAAAGCCAGGGGAGCAAACGGG
rnacentral:rRNA from 1 species